rnacentral:hammerhead_ribozyme from 1 species
AUCCAGCUGAAGAGUCCCAAAUAGGACGAAACGCACAUCUUGGAU